rnacentral:ncRNA from 1 species
GCAAGCGCCUCCUGAAAAAUCGGGCACCAUGGAAGAAAUUCCGUGAGUGAAUGUGGUCAAAUUCGGUGAAACCUAAGGGGUAUUUAGCUUAUUCAGUACUCUAAGGCAAUACCGAGCCAAGCCUGAAUCUGUGUGCGAGUCAUCGUCGAGGUUAAAUGCAGGAAGGUGGAGAGACUAGACGGCCACCACCUAAGGGGUAUUAACCUUAAGAGGUAUUAACCUAGGGUGAAGGUAUAGUCCAGAGAGUGGGGAAACUCACAC